GGCUGCUCCCAGUGCAGUCACAACGAGUUAGAGAUUUCUUCGUUCCUUCUCCACUCCCACUGCUUCACUUGAGUAGCCUAAA
ensembl:Y_RNA Y_RNA Y RNA